UACGGAGGAGGCAAGCGUUAUCCGGAAUUAUUGGGCGUAAAGCGUCCGUAGGUGGCUUGUUGCGUCUGCCGUGAAAGCCCGUGGCUUAACUACGGGUCUGCGGUGGAUACGGGCAGGCUAGAGGCUGGUAGGGGCAAGCGGAAUUCCUGGUGUAGCGGUGAAAUGCGCAGAUAUCAGGAGGAACACCGGUGGCGAAGGCGGCUUGCUGGGCCAGUUCUGACGCUGAGGAGCGAAAGCGUGGGGAGCGAACAGG
rnacentral:rRNA from 1 species